GUGAUAAGAAAUACAUUUUUGCUAUAAAAGCAAAUCGAAUUCAAUUACUCCGUGUUAUUCUCUAAAUCAAUCUAAGCUUGAAAUAAUGAAACUCAUUGUGGUAUUAGUUGUACUUUUGGUGGUGGCACAGUGCUAUGCUCGCUCAAUUCAUGGAGACUCCUUUGCCAUAGAAACACCCGAUUCUGAGCCUUUAUUUUCCGUCGAGCCACAACAACAGGACUCAUCUUUGGUGGAUUCGUUUACACGUUCCAAACGCGGUGGAGGCACAGUAAUAAUUAUAAAGACAGCUAAUAAUAAAUUGUAGAAAAUCAAUUUGAAUCAUUUUAUGA